rnacentral:lncRNA from 10 species
AGCAGGGAUAGGUUGUCUGUGCUCACUCAGCAUAAGCUGGGACAGCUUGCAGGCUGAGGCCUGAAGUCAUGUGAAGGCUCUCUCUCACGCAUCUGGUGGUUGAUGCUGGCUGAUGGCUGAGAUUCAAGCUGGCGUGCCUGCCAGAGCACUCACAGAUGCUUCUCCAUGUCACCUGGGCUUCCUUCCAACAUGGUGGCUGGUGUUCCAUAGCAGGACGCCACCUGGUGCAUUAAUGAUGCUACAUCCAUAAAGGUAAAUCCUG